GACAGAGGGUGCAAACGUUGUUCGGAAUUACUGGGCGUAAAGCGCACGUAGGCGGCGCAGCAAGUCAGGGGUGAAAUCCCGGGGCUCAACCCCGGAACUGCCCUUGAAACUGCAGUGCUAGAAUUCUGGGGAGGCGAGUGGAAUUCCGAGUGUAGAGGUGAAAUUCGUAGAUAUUCGGAAGAACACCAGUGGCGAAGGCGACUCGCUGGACAGACAUUGACGCUGAGGUGCGAAAGCGUGGGGAGCAAACAGG
rnacentral:rRNA from 1 species